rnacentral:rRNA from 1 species
AUUGAACGCUGGCGGCAUGCUUUACACAUGCAAGUCGAACGGCAGCACGGGCUUCGGCCUGGUGGCGAGUGGCGAACGGGUGAGUAAUGCAUCGGAACGUACCGUGUAAUGGGGGGAUAACGUAGCGAAAGUUACGCUAAUACCGCAUACGCCCUGAGGGGGAAAGUGGGGGGACCGCAAGGCCUCACGUUAUACGAGCGGCCGAUGUCGGAUUAGCUAGUUGGUGGGGUAAAGGCCUACCAAGGCGACGAUCCGUAGCGGGUCUGAGAGGAUGAUCCGCCACACUGGGACUGAGACACGGCCCAGACUCCUACGGGAGGCAGCAGUGGGGAAUUUUGGACAAUGGGCGCAAGCCUGAUCCAGCCAUGCCGCGUGAGUGAAGAAGGCCUUC